UACGUAGGGGGCAAGCGUUGUCCGGAUUUAUUGGGCGUAAAGCGCACGCAAGCGGUCUGACAAGUCUGGCGUGAAAUCCUCUGGCUUAACCAGGGGCGGUCGCUGGAGACUGUUGGGCUUGAGGCGAUGAGAGGGGUGCAGAAUUCCCGGUGUAGUGGUGGAAUGCGUAGAGAUCGGGAGGAAUACCAGUGGCGAAAGCGGCACCCUGGCGUCGGCCUGACGCACAUGUGCGAAAGCGUGGGGAGCGAACGGG
rnacentral:rRNA from 1 species